CCGCUUCGGCAGCGUGUGUACUAAAACAAGAACAACACAGGGAAGAUUAGCACGCCCCCUUCGCAAGGAUGACUCACAAAUUCAUGAAGCAUUCCAUAGUUUU